CCUACGGGAGGCAGCAGUGAGGAAUAUUGGUCAAUGGCCGGAAGGCUGAACCAGCCAUGCCGCGUGAAGGUCAGUGCCCUAUGGGCGUUAAACUUCUUUUGUGCGGGAGCAAUAAUGGUCACGUGUGGCCAGACGAGAGUACCGUACGAAUAAGCAUCGGCUAACUCCGUGCCAGCAGCCGCGGUAAUACGGGGGAUGCAAGCGUUAUCCGGAUUUAUUGGGUUUAAAGGGUGCGUAGGCUGUGAGGUAAGUCAGCGGUGAAAUGCCCCCGCUCAACGGGGUGAAGUGCCAUUGAUACUGCCUUGCUGGAAUGCGGAUGCCGUGGGAGGAAUGUGUGGUGUAGCGGUGACAUGCAUAGAUAUCACACAGAACACCGAUUGCGAAGGCAUCUCACGAAUCCGCGAUUGACGCUGAUGCACGAAAGCGUGGGUAUCAAACAGGAUUAGAUACCCUGGUAGUC
rnacentral:rRNA from 1 species